rnacentral:rRNA from 1 species
UACGUAGGGGGCAAGCGUUGUCCGGAUUUAUUGGGCGUAAAGAGCGUGUAGGCGGCCAUACAGGUCCGUUGUGAAAACUCGAGGCUUAACCUCGAGACGUCGAUGGAAACCGUAUGGCUAGAGUCCGGAAGAGGAGAGUGGAAUUCCGAGUGUAGAGGUGAAAUUCGUAGAUAUUCGGAGGAACACCAGUGGCGAAGGCGGCUCACUGGUCCAUUACUGACGCUGAGGUGCGAAAGCGUGGGGAGCAAACAGG